AGAGCGAACGCUGGCGGCAGGCUUAACACAUGCAAGUCGAGCGGGCGUAGCAAUACGUCAGCGGCAGACGGGUGAGUAACGCGUGGGAACGUACCUUUUGGUUCGGAACAACACAGGGAAACUUGUGCUAAUACCGGAUAGGCCCUUACGGGGAAAGAUUUAUCGCCGAAAGAUCGGCCCGCGUCUGAUUAGCUAGUUGGUGAGGUAACGGCUCACCAAGGCGACGAUCAGUAGCUGGUCUGAGAGGAUGAUCAGCCACAUUGGGACUGAGACACGGCCCAAACUCCUACGGGAGGCAGCAGUGGGGAAUAUUGGACAAUGGGCGCAAGCCUGAUCCAGCCAUGCCGCGUGAGUGAUGAAGGCCCUAGGGUUGUAAAGCUCUUUUGUGCGGGAAGAUAAUGACGGUACCGCAAGAACUAAGCCCCGGCUAACGUUCGUGCCAGCAGCCGC
rnacentral:rRNA from 1 species